GCUCGUGUCGUGAGAUGUUGGGUUAAGUCCCGCAACGAGCGCAACCCCUACUGCCAGUUGCCAGCGAGUAAAGUCGGGCACUCUGGCGGGACUGCCGGUGACAAACCGGAGGAAGGCGGGGAUGAGGUCAAGUCAUCAUGCCCUUUAUGCCUUGGGCUACACACGUACUACAAUGGCCGGUACAGAGGGAAGCUAAGGCGCGAGCCGGAGCGGAUCCCAUAAAGCCGGUCCCAGUUCAGAUCGCAGGCUGCAACCCGCCUGCGUGAAGUCGGAAUCGCUAGUAAUCUCAGGUCAGCAUACUGAGGUGAAUACGUUCCCGGGCCUUGUACACACCGCCCGUCACACCACGAAAGUUUGCAACGCCCGAAGCCGGUGGCCUAACCCGCAAGGGAGGGAGCCGUCUAAGGCAGGGCAGAUGAUUGGGGUGAAGUCGUAACAAGGUAGCCGUA
rnacentral:rRNA from 1 species